rnacentral:rRNA from 1 species
UGCUGUUUCGCUGACGAGUGGCGGACGGGUGAGUAAUGUCUGGGAAACUGCCUGAUGGAGGGGGAUAACUACUGGAAACGGUAGCUAAUACCGCAUAACGUCGCAAGACCAAAGAGGGGGACCUUCGGGCCUCUUGCCAUCGGAUGUGCCCAGAUGGGAUUAGCUAGUAGGUGGGGUAACGGCUCACCUAGGCGACGAUCCCUAGCUGGUCUGAGAGGAUGACCAGCCACACUGGAACUGAGACACGGUCCAGACUCCUACGGGAGGCAGCAGUGGGGAAUACUGCACAAUGGGCGCAAGCCUGAUGCAGCCAUGCCGCGUGUAUGAAGAAGGCCUUCGGGUUGUAAAGUACUUUCAGCGGGGAGGAAGGGAGUAAAGUUAAUACCUUUACUCAUUGACGUUACCCGCAGAAGAAGCACCGGCUAACUCCGUGCCAGCAGCCGCGGUAAUACGGAGGGUGCAAGCGUUAAUCGGAAUUACUGGGCGUAAAGCGCACGCAGGCGGUUUGUUAAGUCAGAUGUGAAAUCCCCGGGCUCAACCUGGGAACUGCAUCUGAUACUGGCAAGCUUGAGUCUCGUAGAGGGGGGUAGAAUUCCAGGUGUAGCGGUGAAAUGCGUAGAGAUCUGGAGGAAUACCGGUGGCGAAGGCGGCCCCCUGGACGAAGACUGACGCUCA